AUCUAGCUGAAGAAUACCAAAUAGGACGAAACGCUCGUCAUAGAU
rfam:Schistosoma haematobium scaffold1301_18, whole genome shotgun sequence.